rnacentral:rRNA from 1 species
GGGUGGAUUUAUUAGAACAGAACCAACCGGCGGUGACUUUGGUUGCUGUCGUUGCAUUCUGUGAUGACUCUGGAUAACUUUACUGAUCGCAGUCGGCCUUGUGUCGGCGACGGAUCUUUCAAAUGUCUGCCCUAUCAAUUUUCGAUGGUAGGUGACCUGCCUACCAUGGUGAUAACGGGUAACGGGGAAUCAGGGUUCGAUUCCGGAGAGGGAGCCUGAGAAACGGCUACCACUUCCAAGGAAGGCAGCAGGCGCGCAAAUUACCCAAUCCCGGCACGGGGAGGUAGUGACGAAAAAUACGGAUACGGGACUCAUUAGAGGCUCCGUAAUUCGAAUGAGUACAAUUUAAAUCCUUUAACGAGGAUCAACUGGAGGGUAAGUCUGGUGCCAGCAGCCGCGGUAACUCCAGCUCCAGAAGCGUAUAUUAAAGUUGUUGCAGUUAAAAAGCUCGUAGUUGGAUCUGGGUCGCAUGGCUACAUGCCGUUGCUCGUAUUCCUGGCCUGGUUCACACCGGGACGGGUUUGUGAGUCGGUGUCGUGGUUGUGCAGCCUUUCUGCCGUGUCUGUUUCGACAGGUGUUAGCAUGAUUGGUGGGUUCGUCCUGCUGAUCUGUUGACAUGCUUCCAGGUGCCCUUAACCGGGUGUCGGGGGCGGACGGCACGUUUACUUUGAACAAAUUUGAGUGCUCAAAGCAGGCCCGUGUGCCUGAAAAUUCUUGCAUGGAAUAAUGGAAUAGGACUUCGGUUCUAUUUUGUUGGUUUUCGGAUCCGAAGUAAUGGUUAAAAGGGACAGACGGGGGCAUUUGUAUGGCGGUGUUAGAGGUGAAAUUCUUGGAUCACCGCCAGACAAACUACAGCGAAAGCAUUUGCCAAGGAUGUUUUCAUUGAUCUGGAGCGAAAGUCAGAGGUUCGAAGACGAUCAGAUACCGUCCUAGUUCUGACCAUAAACGAUGCCAACUGACGAUCCGUGGUGGCGCGAUUAUUGGCCCCGCGGGCAGCCCCCGGGAAACCUUUAAGUCUUUGGGCUCCGGGGGAAGUAUGGUUGCAAAGCUGAAACUCAAAGGAAUUGACGGA